rnacentral:rRNA from 1 species
GACGAACGCUGGCGGCGUGCCUAAUACAUGCAAGUAGAACGCACAGUUUAUACCGUAGCUUGCUACACCAUAGACUGUGAGUUGCGAACGGGUGAGUAACGCGUAGGUAACCUGCCUGGUAGCGGGGGAUAACUAUUGGAAACGAUAGCUAAUACCGCAUAAUAUUAAUUAUUGCAUGAUAAUUAAUUGAAAGGUGCAAUUGCACCACUACCAGAUGGACCUGCGUUGUAUUAGCUAGUAGGGGAGGUAACGGCUCACCUAGGCGACGAUACAUAGCCGACCUGGGAAGGUGAUCGGCCACACUGGGACUGGGACACGGCCCAGACUCCUACGGGAGGCAGCAGUAGGGAAUCUUCGGCAAUGGACGAAAGGCUGACCGAGCAACGCCGCGUGAGUGAAGAAGGGUUUCGGAUCGUAAAGCUCUGUUGUAAGAGAAGAACGGGUGUGAGAGUGGAAAGUUCACACUGUGACGGUAUCUUACCAGAAAGGGACGGCUAACUACGUG